rnacentral:rRNA from 1 species
GGACGAACGCUGGCGGCGUGCUUAACACAUGCAAGUCGAACGGAAAGGCCCUGCUUUUGUGGGGUGCUCGAGUGGCGAACGGGUGAGUAACACGUGAGUAACCUGCCCUUGACUUUGGGAUAACUUCAGGAAACUGGGGCUAAUACCGGAUUGGAGCUCCUGCUGCAUGGUGGGGGUUGGAAAGUUUCGGCGGUUGGGGAUGGACUCGCGGCUUAUCAGCUUGUUGGUGGGGUAGUGGCUUACCAAGGCUUUGACGGGUAGCCGGCCUGAGAGGGUGACCGGCCACAUUGGGACUGAGAUACGGCCCAGACUCCUACGGGAGGCAGCAGUGGGGAAUAUUGCACAAUGGGCGGAAGCCUGAUGCAGCAACGCCGCGUGCGGGAUGACGGCCUUCGGGUUGUAAACCGCUUUCGCCUGUGACGAAGCGUGAGUGACGGUAAUGGGUAAAGAAGCACCGGCUAACUACGUG